CUUCAGGGCCACUGUGAGCCUCUGCCCUGGGCAGCUUUCACUAUGCAGAGAAAAUUUCUUUUCUGCCUCUCAUAAACCUAUACUUUAACUGCCUUUUCUGCAUGUCUUGUCCAAUUCUUUGUUCAAGACAUCAACAACCUGGAAAGAAACCUUGUAGGACCAGUUGCAGAGCCAGAAAAAGUGCCCACGGGAAUGCAGACACUGUCACUGCUUUGGAGGCUGGAUAUGCAGCCUAAGGAAAUUAGUGCUUAACAAGAGCCGGGCUCUGCUGGCUUUGCAACUCUUGCCUGGAGGCUGUGGCUGCACCAGGGGCCAAAGCAGUCAGAGAGGCGGGCCUGGCAGAGGCUGUGGUCACCUCUAAGAUUGCUGAGCCUCAGAAGUCCUCAAGGCACACACAGUCAGUAAUAGUCUAGGCUCUAAGAGCCAGAGGAAAGGGGGGGUGUUUGCAUUUUCCUCAUCUCCACAGCUGCCUCCAGCUGAAGGCCCCUGUAAGUAACCUGAGCUUUUUGACUUUUAGGUUCCUUUCUGUUUCCCAGUUAGAAGGCCUUCAGGUCUGUCUGCUGCAGGGCCCUCUGUACUGGGAAGGAGACUGUGGGGCAGGGACUCGACCUUUGGGCUUCCGGCCUGUCAGAUCCUGAGCCCAGAAAACUGCUUUGCAGAGCUAUUGUGCUGGCCCUGGAGAGAGGUGGCCUCUAGAGGAAUGCUGUGUGGCAACUUCCCACACAAUGCUCCUGACUUCACAGUACCCCUUGGCUAGGGAAAGGACCCGAAGCCUGCUUUCAUGAGGCUGUGGAGAACCCUAAGAAGCUGGUGGGACUUCUUACACUCUGAGUCCCUUCUCCAGAGAAUUUGGGAGGAGCAGUGCUUUUCUAAAACUUGCCUUCCUAGAACUCAACCUCCUCCCUUGCCCCCCACCCCCCAGCAAUGUUCCAGAAUCUGGGAACAGGGCACAGAGCAAAAGAAAGAUGCCUAUUUUUGCAGAAUUUAUAUUUUAACGAGAAGCCAGAAAGUAAGCAGAAUAAAUGUGUGAGAUCUGCUGUGGAGAAAAAUGAAACAGAGAACAGCAUGAGGGAUGGUGGGGCUGGUGUGCUUCUCCCAGACAGCGUGGCCUCGCUGACAGGCCACAUCUGAGCCUGAUGGAGUAGAGAAUCAGAGCUGAGGGUGAGCUGGGGCUGAACAUCCUGGGUUUCUGCUGGUGACAGCGGAGGGCAUAACCCCUAAUGGCCCCAGGGCUUGGAGCUCCUGCCUCUACACUGACUUCUGCCCUGAGAAGAGGCUGGUGCCAUAGAGGGGAGUCGGAGGGGCCUUGUCCUGCUGUGAAGAAAGUUCCAGAGUCCUGGCCUGUACUCCCUGGUUGCUGGAAGAAGAUAACUCUUGGGAAGUUUAGAAAUCGUCUCCCAGACAUGUAACAAGGAGUUGCUGAGCUGGUGGUGCUGAGUCUUCUUUGCCAUGGAUUUCACCUUCAGAAGCUGUAACCUCCAUAGAUUUCAAGGGUAUGAAAGGUCCUGAGACUACACUGUUGGAACGACUGCAUCACACCACUCUGCGCUCCCAGAGGUAGACAGGAGGGAGAAGCAUCUUUCCACUUUAUCCACGUUACCCAUUGUUGUUACUGAUUUAUUUUUAAAUCCAACUUGGCUUCUCCCCUGAAAACUGUUGAGAAGUAAAGAAAACUGACCAUAGCUUCCUGAAGUCAAAGCACCUAAAACAAAGAGAAGGCCAUGGAAGUGAGUAAGGGGCUUCUCCAAGACUGCAAGGUCACCCAAGGUCCCUACCGUCCAUGCUGCUGAGAAGCUGCCAGUUUCUUCUUUGCUUGGUUGGUCUCACAACCAACCACCCACUCCCACCCACUAUACCUCAACACCCAACCUGGAGAGGUGUUGUUCUCUGGGUCCUGAAAACACUAAGGGAAGCUGGGAGUAGGGGGCACAUGCCUGUAAUCCCACCACUUGGGAGGCUGAGGCAGGAAGAUGGUGAGUUCCAGGCCUGGAUUGCAUAGAAAGACUAUGUCUCAAAACACACACACACACACACACAUGGGGACUCACUACGGCUUUGGACUGACCCACCCCCGACCUCUCUGGGAUGAUGGCGCAGGGAAGAGCACCCUCAGUCUGUGGUACACUAGCCCCUGUUCUUGGGUUGGGGCUCAGAUGAAAAGCGAAGGUCACUUUUCUAGGCCUGAAGAGGAAAUGUAAAUCUCUCCCAGCCCACGUGGCAGAAGCUGCCAGAAGGCCAUUGCCCUGUUAGUAAACAGGGCUGCCUGGGCCAUCUUUCUCUUUUGUAAUAACCUGCAGGGCACCUAUUGAUUGCACGUGCUGGUCCCUCAUAAGUGAGGACAGGGCUGUCUUCCGGUUGCUCUGGAGCUGUGAGGGUGCCUAAAUUGGCUGACUAAUACUGCAUGCUCAUGGAGCACAGUGUCCUGUGCCACCUAAACAUGAAGAAUAUGUAUCAUCAGGCGCCGUGAGAGUGCAGGCCCCAACUCCAGCGGCUUCAAGGCUUCCGGGCGUGCUGCAGACUGCAAUUAGGCAGUUUGCUUGCCUCCUCCCGAGAGGAAAGAACACUGAUGUGGCUCCUGCUGCAGCCUGAGCUACUUUAAGAUGGAGGGAGCGGCAGGUCUUGGAGGGUGGGCAAUGGGCCAGCUCCUCACCUCAGCUACCCCCUCAGCAGGAAUGGCAGCCAGCAAAUAGAAACCAACCCACAUCUUUUAGCCUGUGGUGGACAGAGUUAUGACUCAAAAGACACGUUCAAAACCCCCACUUCGGCCACUUUUGGCUGUGUGAUAUUAGUGGCUUAACCUCUCUGAGCCUCAGCAUCUCAUCUGGAAAGUUGAGAAAAUAAUAUUUCCUUAAUUGUUCAUGUGGUUAGGCCUGCCUGGAACCCAGUAUCCUCUCAUAAAUACCGGCACUGAGUCAAAAGCAGCUGAACACAGCAGUAGGUACCGGACUGAAACUACUUUUCCUUUCCACCCCUGAAAUCUGGCACCAGGAACUUUUCAGUGCUAUUGCCAGGCAAUGCCUUGCUAUCUAAGAAGUGAGGCCAGGAAACUCCUGGCUUGAUAAAUUGGAAUUAUCUCUCCCAUCCCUUUCAUCUUUCUGUGCCCCUCCUGACCUAGCUUCUGAAUUUAACAUUGAUUCCACAGGGAAUGUCACUAAAAUGUAUCGUGAACACAGAGAAGCAUGGCACCAUAGCUUACCCUUCUAAAAGAAAACCUUGGCACCCGCAGGCCCACCCUGGGCAGAGCCUUCAGAGCGUCUCUAACUCUGGCCCUGGACAAUGGGCUCUAUGAGUAGCACUGUCCUUGCAGCUCACUUGUGGCUCCUUUGUUGAUGUUGCCACAAUCAAAGCCGAUGAAAGGACGGUGUGAAGAGCCAUAUUUCCAUAUUUUCCUCCUGGUCCUGGAAAUGACAUCUACUGCCUUGGGACGGAGGGUACAGUGGGUGAAUGGUGCCCCCCAAAUAUAUGAUCACACGGGGACCCUGUGAGUGUGAUCUUCUUUGGGCAAAGGGUCUUUACAGAUGUGAUUAAAUCAGCAUCUUGAGCUGCCAUUGUUCUAAAUUACCUGGGGUGGGCAGGCGGCGUAAAUGGAGUGACAAGGGUCCCUUGAGACAGAAGAGGGACUGGCACAGAGAGAAGCUCAGGAGAAGAUGAUGGAGAUGCAGCCUGGAGUGAAGCAGCCCCAGUCAAGGCUUCCUGGGCCAUCAGGAGCGGGGGGGGGGGGGGCAGAGGAAGACUGUCUGGAGAGCCUUUGGAAGGAGGGAGUGUGGCCCUGCUGACACCUGGGUUUGGGACUCUGGCUUCUACAAUUGGGAGAGGAUGAAUUUCUAUUACUUUAGGCUACUGCUGAGGCUUAGAUACGGUUUUUCUCCAAAAGCUCAUGUGCCCGAGACUUGGUCCCUGAUGUCCUGGUAUUGAGGUGUUGAUGACUUUCAGAAGGGUGAUUAGCCAGGGGCAGCACCCUCAGAAAGACCGGCUUGGUUACCCUCAUAGGGGAUUGAUAAAAACGAAUGUGGCUUUCUUUUUUGUUGUUGUUUUUUUGAGACAGGAACUCACUAUGUAGUUCAGGCUGGUCUAGACUCACUAUGUAGCCCAUGCUGGCUUCAAACUCAUGGCAAUCCUCCUGCCUCAGCCUCCUGAGUGCUGGCAUUACGGGGAUGCACCACUAUGCCUGGCUUCUUCUCUCAGCAUAUGACCUCUCCUGCCUGUGCUGCUGCCCUGUGAUGCCAUCUGCCCAGAAGCUGAGGCUACACAAUGCCACACACUUGGACCUCCAGAACUGUAAGCUAAAUAAACCUCCUUAUUUUCUUUAUGAAGGAAGGUAUCUUAUGAUACGAACAAGGUAUCUUGUUAUAGCAACACACAGUGGACUGAGAGCCACCAAGCUUGUGGUCGUCUGUGAUGGCGGCUCUACUCCAGCAUGCUCCUGGGGUGGGACACAGCUCAAGGUCAUCUUCCACGGGUGAUGUUUUCCCUGUCUGUGGCAGGACUUACCUGAACAACAGCCUCAGCUGGCCUGGCCUGCAAUCCAGGAGCCGCAGACAACCAGAUAGGAGUGUGGCUGAGGAUCUGCCUGGGACAGAGCCUUCUGAAAUGCUGGAAACAGGCUCCAUCUUAGAACUAGACAGACUGAUGUUGAAAUCCCAACACUGACUGACUCUGAGGCCUCUCUGCCUUUCAAGUCCCUCAUCAAUAAAGCGAGGAAAUAAUGUUUACCUUGUAGGCAAGAGCAGGUCCAGCAUCCAAAGCUUACAGAAUUUGGGUGACACUUUAAAAGAGAAAGAAUACAACGAUUUAAAUCCAAAGUUAGGGAAGGAGUCUUGGGAGGCCCUGUAUAAGUUCGGGCCCCUGAGGUGUAAGUCAGGCCCACUCUGUUCAUUGGUGCUCAGAGAAUCACAGGUGAAAACAGGGAGCACAAGGCAGAGCCUGGAUCCUGCUGAGAGCUCUGUAAGAGACAAAAGUUGUCAGCUGGGCGUGGUGGUGCACGCCUGUAAUUCCAGCGCUUGGGCGGCUGAGGCAGGAGGAUCACUUCAAGUGAGUUCUCUGUCUCCAAAAAAAAAAGAAAAGAAAAGAAAAAGAAAGUAUGGAGAUAUGUGUGGAACACAGAAGAAACUCUGAAGGAUACAUUCCAUAGAGACUGCAGUUGUUGCUCUCUUGUCUCUUUUCCCUUCCUUUUGGUAACAGGAAACUGACUUCUAGGACGAUGGCUGUGUGCUCAGCUAAAGCCACCUGUCCCAGCUUCUCUCACAGCUGGGUGUAGCCAUGAGACUAAAUUUUGGCCAAGGAAGUAUAAACAAAGCGUGAUGGCUGAAAUCCAGCUUCCCCAGAGUUCACAGAGGAAGCGCUCACCUCGUGCUCAGAGUGUGGCCCUAACGGAAAGAGGGUCCCUGAGGACAUUAACCGAGGGGAUGGGGGACUCACAUCCCACAUGAAUAAUGGCCUAAUGAAAAGGGGAAAUUAAGACGCGCACGCGCACGGAGAGCGCUGCGUGAAGAUGGGGCAGAGACCAGCAGCUACUUCUACAAAUCCAGGGACCUCAAAGGCUGUCGCAGAAGUCAGGAGAGGCAGCAGUGCUCAGAAGGCACCAAUCCUGGGUUGCCAGCCUCCAGACUGAGAGAAGGGCGACAGUUUCUGUCAUGUAAGCCGAUCGGGUGCGGCACUUUGUUACCGCAGCCCUAGAAAACGAAUGCAGACAGAUAACGUUCUUCUUCAACCAGCAGACGGAGACCGGUAUCGCAAAUGGCAGACAGAGUGCAAGGAGGAACCCGGGACCCCAAAAACCUCAGGGAGCUGUCACAUUACUCUUGCACUGCCUACCCCGGGGCUUAUUUUCUAGAAAAAUAAACUUAAGCUUUUGUUAUUGUUUUAUUUGGUUUUUGAAAUAUACGAUUUUGAUAAAUUACUCUUUGAGGGGAGGGCUUGGAAUUGAAAUAUCAGUGAAGAAUUUUUGCUUUACCUGUAACGUUUCAAUUCUGAUUUCAAGGAUAUAUUUAGGUAUUCUUUUGUAACUAAAAUAAAAUUAUUUCAUAAAUUACAUGA
rnacentral:lncRNA from 1 species